GGUGCUAGUAGAUUUGGACUAAAGUGCACCUGCUCACAUCCCCAGUGGUGUCAACCCCUAGAAGCAUUUGCAGUGCUUUGGAAUGCUGCCAUUGUUUAGAGUUCCAGCGACUGACCUGUUCCAAGUACCUGACCUACUUACCUGUGAUGGACGUGUACCGGGCUGACUGCAGUCGGAUCCUUAAAUCGUUUUCUUCUCCUGGUUUCUGUGGAUGGGUUACGUCUGUUACUUUUCUGUUGCCUUUAGGAGACACCAUGACCAAGUCAACUUACAGAAAGAAGUGUUUAUUUGGGCUGACAGAGGGUAAGAGCUCCUGGUGGCGGAAGGGCGCAGCAGCGUUCAGCAGGCAUAGCUAGCUGCAGGAGCAGGAAGUCAGCUCUUCACAUCUAGAACAACAAGCACGGAGCCGAGAUAGCAACUGUUAAUAAACAGGAGAGCCUUUUUACUCUCAAGGCCCAUCCCCAGUGGUAAGACUUCCUCCAGCAAAGCCACCUCACCUAAGCCUCAGAGUGUCACCAACUGGAAACCAAAGUGCUCCAGUGCCCGAGACUAUGGGGGAACGUUUCUCAUUCAAACCACCACACCAGUCUUUCCUGACUUUCCUUCUAUCCCCAAGACUUUUCCGUCUCCUUUUCUUUGAUGACUCAGCCUCCUCGACGCCUCUAAGUGGUAGCAACCCCAGACUCUUCGUUAUCCAGGACUGCGCUGGUGAAGACGGGUUGUCAGCUUGACAGCACCUAGAAUCCCCUAGGAGGCGAGCUUCUGGGCGUGUCUGUGGCUGGGUUAGAUUCGGUGGAAAGACUCACUGGAACUGUGGGUGCCAUUCACUGGUUCACGGACUUAGUCCCAGAUUGGAUAAACAGAGGAGAGAAGUUAAGAACCAGCAACCAUCUGUCUCUGGUUCCGACUGCAGGUGCCACGUGACCACCUGCCUCACACCCACCCCUAUUGCCAUGCUUUUCCUACAGUCCCCUCACACUUCGAGCCAGAGUAAACUCUUCCUUCCUCAAAUUGUAUUUAUCGGGUAUUAUGCCACAGCAGUGAGGGGAUUAACUAACGCGACUAGUCAUCUAUUUAAAUCUUUAAAAUUAUAUUUAUGUCUGAGUGCUCUGUCUGCAUAUACACGUGCAUGCCAGAAGAGGGCAUCAGAUCACAUCAUGUGAGUCACCAUGUGGUUGCUGGGAAUCGAACUCAGGACUUUUGGAAGAGGAACCGGUGCUCUUAACCGCUGAGGC
ensembl:lncRNA